rnacentral:rRNA from 1 species
UACAGAGGUCUCAAGCGUUGUUCGGAUUCAUUGGGCGUAAAGGGUGCGUAGGUGGCGAGGCAAGUCUGGUGUGAAAUCCCGGGGCUCAACCCCGGAACUGCACUGGAUACUGCUUUGCUAGAGUACUGGAGAGGAGAUUGGAAUUUACGGUGUAGCAGUAAAAUGCGUAGAUAUCGUAAGGAAGACCAGUGGCGAAGGCGAAUCUCUGGACAGUUACUGACACUGAGGCACGAAGGCCAGGGGAGCAAACGGG